UUCUCUAUCGAUUUCACCCCCUUCAGCCGUCAACCCUCCUGAGCCAUGGCCACUGGCAACGCCAUCGACUGUGAGACAAAGUACUGGUACUGGCUGUAUGUGCGAGAAGGAUGGCUGAGAAAACUCCUGCGCUACAUUUGCAACAGAAUAUUCCAUCGUCUGCCACCAUUAAAUUAUUCCUGCAGUUGCUGAAUAUGAGCACAAACCUGGAGGGUGGUCUAAGUGAAUGGGAUCCGAAAACGAUAUUGAUGACGAUGGAAGGGAGACGGUUGAAGUGCUUCCUGUUGGAUAAUUUCACAUCAAUAGGAAUCCAUUUGAUGGUCAAAUUUUCCUUUUAUGCGCCCCCAGCAGUGCGCCAGAGAAUUACAAUUGCUGGACAUAUUUACCUGAAAAGGAUCUAACUGGUAGGGAGAAGAAGACUCUGCUACAAGAAGAUCUAAAUGGGAAAUGUUUAAUGAUGCCAUCUCCACAAUUGAUUACUUUGGUAGUCAUAGCGACAGUCACAGGAUAUUCACGGGAACACACACACACACACAGACAUCUAUUCCUACCAUUGAGGACUCUUGCACCAGCAACAUUAUUGGGAGAGAAAUGGGAAAUUGUGUAUUCAAGGAUGUGACACGCACACUCCACUAACGAGGGAAAAUUAUUCCGCAAGGAAAAUCCCAGACGAAAUGCAACGCAAUUUCAACUUGAACUCAAUCAGGAUUUCUGGGGAAAUCGCUUGAGAGGUUGGAAUGGCUGGGAAGGUGGAACUUCCAUCCCUUCGGAGCAACUUUCACCCCGUCGAAAAUACAAUGGCCAUCGGGCUGUUCUUAUCGUGCAACUGGCAGACAGAAAUUUCGAGACCACUCUAUAUUUUGGGCACACAAAUACUCAAGAGGGUGGCCUUAUCUUGCCCAUGCAAUAGUCCCAAAGUUAAGGGAAACAUUCACCGAAGGCAUUA